UCAGCUGGGAGAGCGCCUGCUUUGCAAGCAGGAUGUCGUCGGUUCGAUCCCGUCCGGCUCCACCAAUGCGCGAUCCGCAGGAUCGUCGUGAAUGCGCGAUCCGCAGGAUCGUCGUGAAUGCGCGAUCCGCAGGAUCGUCGUGAAUGCGCGAUCCGCAGGAUCGUCGCUUCAGCCGCCGCGUUGCGUGUUGGCGAUAGCGCGAUCCGCAGGAUCGUCGCGGCGCGAUCGCAAGAUUGCUGCCUUGGUGUUGAGUAGAGGUGAGAAAAGUCAUUCGUAAAAAGAGUUUGCGCCGAGCUUCGUGCUUGGCGCCUGUUCUGUUUGACAUCGUAAAGAGAAGAUUUGUUCGAACUUCAUGACCCGCAAGGGCCGUGAUUUGUCGCAAGGGACGCUCAAUCCCUUGCAUAUGAUGGGUUUGCCUAACCGCACCCUCGAACCGAUCUCGAGAAGCUGGUCUUUUUGUGCCAAUGACAUCGAGCAAGAUCCCGCACAGGAUCUGGUUCAAGGCGACAAUCCCUUCGGGAUUGCGCUUAUGCGACGAUCCUUCGGAUCGCGCGUGAUGGGUAUUGGCAAUGAGAACGAUCAAGUGUCUUAAGGGCAAUUGGUGGAUGCCUUGGCAUGCACAGGCGAUGAAGGACG
rnacentral:misc_RNA from 1 species